AGCCGCCAUGGUGAAAUUGGUAGACACGCUGCUCUUAGGAAGCAGUGCUAGAGCAUCUCGGUUCGAAUCCGAGUGGUGGC
rnacentral:tRNA from 1 species